UGGGGGAGUGGAACGCGGCGAUUCGGUCCCAGCUAGAGGGAAGUGAAAAUCGGGACUCGAGACCGACUAGAAGGCGUAGUUUUAAAUCCCGUUUAACUUUCUGAGCCUUGGUCUUCGCUGACAAACGAGAGCAUGGAUGUCAGGAAGGAAGCAGUCAAGAGAGGAGAGGAUUGCCCCCUGGCUAGCCAGAAGGGGUCAGUCUGAAUGGAGACUAAACUCUGGGGUGAUAAUCACUACAUUCUGUGGAAUCCCAGAUGAGAGAUGGGAGAGAAGAGGCUAAUAAUCUAAUUGCAGAUCUGGGAGAUGGGAUUAU